UACGUAGGGUGCGAGCGUUGUCCGGAAUCAUUGGGCGUAAAGCGCGUGUAGGCGGUUCGGUAAGUCCGCUGUGAAAGUCCAGGGCUCAACCCUGGGAUGCCGGUGGAUACUGUCGGGCUUGAGUACGGAAGAGGCGAGUGGAAUUCCUGGUGUAGCGGUGAAAUGCGCAGAUAUCAGGAAGAACACCAAUGGCGAAAGCAGCUCUCUGGGACGGUACUGACGCUGAGACGCGAAAGCGUGGGGAGCGAACAGG
rnacentral:rRNA from 1 species